rnacentral:lncRNA from 1 species
UCUCUCAAAUCUGACACAGAUCUGAUGGAAUCGCGUUGAAGGGAGCCACAAAACAACAAAACAUGCGCCGAGCUGUCGGCAAAUUGUCUUCUUCUCAUGCACACCGUUGUGCGCAACACCAGCCUCUCCUCCAUCUUUUUUUUUCUUUUUCUUCCUCUCCUCUCUCGACUGCCGAUUGAUGGUAACUGUAGCCUUACUCUCUCUUUCUCUCUUUCUCUCUCUCUUUCUCUCUUUCUCUCUCUUCCUGCGCUGAUUUCCUUCCCUCCUUUUACAUUUAACCGUCAUGUCAAAAUUCUAAAAUUGGCCGAAAAAGGUUU